GGAGAGAUAGAUCCAAUUUGUAUGGAAAUCCAUCUCUGGAGGAGGGCAUGUGAAGUAAGUCUUCACUUACCUAGAGAUCCUGGGGAGUUUAGAUUUUAUAGGUAAGAGUGGAUACCUAUCACCUGAGAGGAUGCGCACCCUUUCCCACUCGAGGGCCGCAGAGGCAUGCUUGAGUUGUUAGGGGAUAACGACUUGCACGUUUGGAGUUUGUUGGGAUUAUAGAUCUCAACAAUUGGAGGA
rnacentral:lncRNA from 1 species